rnacentral:rRNA from 1 species
CCUACGGGAGGCAGCAGUUGGGAAUCUUGCACAAUGGGGGAAACCCUGAUGCAGCGACGCCGCGUGGACGAUGAAGGCCUUAGGGUUGUAAAGUCCUUUUUUGGGGAAAGACUUAGGACGGUACCCCAAGAAUAAGCUCCGGCUAACUACGUGCCAGCAGCCGCGGUAAGACGUAGGGAGCAAGCGUUGUCCGGAUUUACUGGGCGUAAAGAGCGCGUAGGCGGCUCGUUAAGUGUGAAGUGAAAUCUCCAGUGCUCAACACGGAAACUGCUUUACAUACUGGCGAGCUUGAGGAAAGCAGAGGCAGCUGGAAUUCCUGGUGUAGCGGUGAAAUGCGUUGAUAUCAGGAGGAACACCCAUGGCGAAGGCAGGUUGCUGGGCUUUAUCUGACGCUGAGGCGCGAAAGCGUGGGUAGCAAACAGGAUUAGAUACCCUGGUAGUCCACGCCCUAAACGAUGGAUACUAGACGUAAGAGGUAUCGACCCUCUUGUGUCGCAGCUAACGCAUUAAGUAUCCCGCCUGGGGACUACGGCCGCAAGGUUGAAACUUAAAGGAAUUGAACGGCUGAGACGUGCGAGACGACACGAGGAGAGG